ensembl:lncRNA
CUCUGGACAUCUUGCCCUUUAUUUACUGAAAAGAAGACAACAUCUUUUCUCAGGGCUGAAACCCCUAUUGCAGUUCCAACACGUGUCUAUUUAUCAGGAGAAAAGCUGAAUAUUUCCACUAUCACAAGAUUAUUGCCAGUGCUCGGAUUUUUCCCUAACCUCCAGCUAAAAUCCUCUGAGCUAACGCUCUGAAAAUGGAACGGCAUACCAAAUCUGCGCUCUGGCUCUCAGAGGUGGAGGCCCACCCUUUCUCCCAAUAAACAAUUUUGCAUACGUUUAAACCUCCCUCCUCUGGUUUCCCAACUCCUCCUGCCUGACCCCCCCAGCAAAGAAAUUACGGAAAUCUGUCAUUUCUCUCUUUUCCCUCGCACCUCCAUCUAUCAGUGUUUCGAAGGCAGUCUCCUCAAAUGCAGAGCAGAGCAGGAGAUGGGCAGCGGUAAUGGGAAUGUGCUCCUGACUGUGCAAACCCACACAGAGAGUGAGGACAGGAGAGACUGCAUUUGCAUACAUAUUAAACGAGAGCAGUAAAAAAUGCAGACGUGCAAACCAUUUGGACAUGGCUCGCCUCGGCAAUGUGCCCUGCAAGGGAAUCAAUCUUCUGCAUUCUUAAAGGGAAAAACCUGUUACGGAGCGAAAAGCAAAGCCAGAAAGACGUCCGCUUACAAACACGGUCAAGGUUUGAAGACGAUCUGACCUUCUGCCUUUGCCAACCACGACCUGCUGUGCAAAGGUACACAUAGGAGGGUGAGACCUGGCAUGAACCAACUGCUGUCACUGGUGAGAGAUCUCCCAGGACCCCAUCCUGAGUGGGAACUGGAGCAAGAGUUCCAAGCUCCACGUGCCCACCUGUGAGGGCAACGCAGAGACCUUCCUGAGAUGGCCCAAGCCAGGCUGCAGGGAAGAACUAAGUGACAUCUGGAUAUGCUGAAGAAGCCCAAACCCUGUGUCCCAGUGCCUUCACCUACUGAAAAUUUCCCCUCUGCAAAGACAGGAGCUCACCACACUCAGCUAUCUGUCCUUGAGGCUGCAGAUGGACAGCUGGACAUUCCUCCCACUCGAGCACCGUGUCCUGUUACUGCAGGAACCACCUCCUGCUGCCCAAACCUCACCCCAGCAGCGUUCAGCCCCUCUGCUCCGAUAGGAAAUGCUAUGUGGAGCCCGGCUACCUCCUGUUAAGCCAAAUCUAACCACACCACCUGCUUACAGGGACUGCUUCAUCCCUGCACCUAUAGCCCAGAGCACCUCAAAUGGGAACAUGCUGACAG